UACGUAGGGAGCAAGCGUUGUCCGGAAUCAUUGGGCGUAAAGCGCGCGUAGGCGGCCCCGUAAGUCCGCUGUGAAAGUCAAAGGCUCAACCUUUGAAAGCCGGUGGAUACUGUGGGGCUAGAGUACGGAAGAGGCGAGUGGAAUUCCUGGUGUAGCGGUGGAAUGCGCAGAUAUCAGGAGGAACACCAAUAGCGAAGGCAGCUCGCUGGGACGUUACUGACGCUGAGGCGCGAAAGCGUGGGGAGCGAACAGG
rnacentral:rRNA from 1 species